rnacentral:rRNA from 1 species
GAUGAACGCUGGCGGCGUGCCUAAUACAUGCAAGUCGAGCGAACAGACGAGGAGCUUGCUCCUCUGACGUUAGCGGCGGACGGGUGAGUAACACGUGGAUAACCUACCUAUAAGACUGGGAUAACUUCGGGAAACCGGAGCUAAUACCGGAUAACAUGUUGAACCGCAUGGUUCAACAGUGAAAGACGGUCUUGCUGUCACUUAUAGAUGGAUCCGCGCCGCAUUAGCUAGUUGGUAAGGUAACGGCUUACCAAGGCAACGAUGCGUAGCCGACCUGAGAGGGUGAUCGGCCACACUGGAACUGAGACACGGUCCAGAAUCCUAAGGGAGGCAGCAGUAGGGAAUCUUCCGCAAUGGGCGAAAGCCUGACGGAGCAAAGCCGCGUGAGUGAAGAAGGUCUUCGGAUCGUAAAACUCUGUUAUUAGGGAAGAACAAAUGUGUAAGUAACUAUGCACGUCUUGACGGUACCUAAUCAGAAAGCCACGGCUAACUACGUG